GAGUAUUUUUUUUUUUGAUAUCUGUGGAGGGAAUCGGACGCACGUCCCAAAUGUUUGGUUCGCUAACCCUCGCGUUCGGACUUCUCUGUUCGCGGCCUCUAUGUUUAGGGUUUCGAACUCGUUGGAGUUUUCUUUCGCCCUGUUCUUCCUGGAAUUCUCCUGUCUAUUCGCGCUCCGCAUCCCUUCAAAGCCCUCCUCUGAUCCAGCGACGGGAGGUUCCGGCGGAAAAUUUCAGGAGCCCUUGGUGUUUGAUGACGCAUCAUCAUCCUGCCAGCUGCUCGAAGUGUCAUAUCUGUACAUUCUUCUGCCUCUGCCACCGCGCUUGGACAUGCUUAAACAUGAUCCACAGACGAACUUCGCCGGAACCUCAUCAAGAUCAUCUAUGCCCGAGCAUCUUGUGUGCUUCCACACUCCACACCUGUCACAUGCUAACAUUCUCUCGCCAUCAUCAUCUUUGGUUCCACAGGUGCAAUCUACUGUCCAACUCUCUGUGCCCCUCUCCAUCCGUAAUUGCUCCAACUUGCACCCACCUCCCAAGCACCUUCCGCGAACUUGAACAGAAUCAUCUGGGCCUAGCAGGAAACUGAUUUGGGUGGCAUCAUCAGCAUCUUCACCAUUUACUAAAACCUGCUCUGCCUGGAACGAUUGCAAGAUUAGUCGAGAAUUUUUGCUGAUGAACUCCGGGAGGCCUCCCACACUGACCGUGGCUCGUAAGGCUGCAUGGUGGCAGGGUUGAGAAGGGCAUCGUACAACACCCUGAGGUCAUGAAGAAGACAUUCUUUGGAAGGUCUGCAUAAGCGUCGAGCAGAUGAUCGCUCGUCCGAAGCAUGCUCAAGUCUGAAGAGGCAAGUAAAGACAUCAGUUUGCAGGUUAGACCCACAUAUUCAUCUCAAGUGAAUAGGGAGGAGGCCAACCUGUACUCGACCGAGUUCGACUCAGCAUUACAUUUGACUGCGACAACCAAACCAUCGGCCACUGCUCUACCAGCAAGUUUCCUGAGGCAAUAAUCCAGCAGCUCUAACGAGCCAAUAGACGAAAAGGUUGCCCCUCGAAGAGCCCGCCAGUGAUUCAGGAUCUUCUGGUUUUUCUGUUGCAUCAGCUCCCGAAUUCUUCUCAUCGUAGCAGUCCUUGAUCUGCUGAGUUAUGAAACAGAAGAGGUCUCUCAAUGUCUUCAGUCUUCGAGGUGAAAGGAACACAUAAAGGGCAAUGGUCUUCUGCAGCUGGGUGCUAAGUGAUCGGUCAUCAAGGAGAGGAGUGCUGGAGAGACCAUCCACGGCCUUACGGUAAGCCUCAGUGGUGUGACCAAAGCUGCCGGUACCAAACUGGUAUCCCCAGUUUCCAUACCAUGGCUGGCCUGCGGUGACAGCUUGGAGGAGCCGGAACUCCAUGCCGUGCUUCUUGGACACAUCCAUGACGGAGAUUUUUCUGCUAGGGAAGAAUCAAUUUUGGGGUAGCAGCAGGGAUGAAACUCUUGUUUCUACAAUUCAUGCGUGGAGGCAGUGCUUAUAACUCUAAUAAGCUAUUAACUGAUUAUCCAGUAAUCAGAAUUUGUUCAGAUUGUUAUCCAAAGUAUCGAUCUCAAAUUACAUUUGAAA